rnacentral:rRNA from 1 species
UACGAAGGGGGCUAGCGUUGUUCGGAAUUACUGGGCGUAAAGGGCGCGUAGGCGGUCCCUCAAGUCAGGCGUGAAAGCCCCGGGCUCAACCUGGGAACGGCGCUUGAGACUGGCACGCUCGAGUUCGGGAGAGGAUGGUGGAAUUCCCAGUGUAGAGGUGAAAUUCGUAGAUAUUGGGAAGAACACCGAUGGCGAAGGCAGCCAUCUGGACCGACACUGACGCUGAGGCGCGAAAGCGUGGGGAGCAAACAGG